AGACCCAUGCAUGACCUUUUACUGUCAGCGUCAAACAGUCAGGGCAAACCGAGUUACCAGAGUUUAAAUACUGAGCAUAAGUGCCUAGUUACUUAAUUUUGAUGAGACUAUGGCCUCAGAACCAUGAAAACUACUCACGCAUAUCGCCAGAAGUUAGUUUCAGGUCAUUUAGACUGAGACUGGGUUCAAAAAGAAUGUGCAUAUGAUAGGCCAAGUCUAGGCUUUAGAAAGAGUACGGAAGAGAUUUAUCUGGAUAUUACCACAGAUGAAAGACUUCGGUUACGAGAUGUUGGAAUGGUGAACCAAGUUCUGUUCAGAACAGAGGAGUUUUAGAGGAGUACAUAAAAGAUCACAUUUUCGCCAGAGGCUUCUAUUUUGAACAAAAGCAGCACUACCCAUGUUUUGUCAUACUACGUGACUAUAAGCAUGAAGUUGCAAAAUGGGCCCUUUCAGUGGUAUUAUUUAAAAAGACCAGGAAACUAAAUUCAAGAACAUGUGAAGCCAGCUUUUAUUACACAUUCCUAACUGCCCUUGAGAAAUUGGCAGUGAGCCACCUGACUCUCUGCACUCCAAGUUGUGUGGAUACAACCUGACUGAAAGAGUUCCAGGAUUCUGACCCUGCAAUGAUGAAGAUGCAACGAUAUACGGCCAUGUCAGAAGUGUGACUUGCAAAGCAACUUUCAGGUGGGUUCUUUAUUUAAACUCCUCCACUCCACCCCAUAUGUGCACACACACACACACCCUACUGCUCUUUCCUUUCAAGUAAUGGUCACAGGUUUGGGGGUUGCUGUCAAAAAAAAGCCUUGAUGAGCUACAUAAACAUAAUCAGAUGGUAUUCAUUACAGCUAGUAUAUGCCAUGACUGGGAGAAUUAAGGUUUAAGGAGGUGGCUGGGGUGCUUAGCAAGCAGAAUGUCUUAGCUCUAUCUUAAGUGAUGGUAAGCUUCUUCAGUGUUAGUGAAGGUGCACUCAUCCACAUAAAUGGAGAAUAUUCCAUCACACUCCUGACUUGAUCCUUAUAGAUGGUAAGCUUUGGGGAGUCAGAUAGUGAGCCAUUGCUUCAGAAUUCCCAGUCUCUGGCUUGCUCUUGUAUCCUCUGUACUUGUAUGGCUGGGUCAGUUUCUGGACCGUCUCAAACUCCUCCCUACCCUCCUAGACCUUUCCAUUUCUAUCUCGGGUGACCGAAUCGACAUGGAAACAAAAUUUGGAUCAGUUUCUAGUCAAUGGUGAUACCCAGAAUGUUUACGGUGGGCGGCUCAAUGGUGAUAAUUUCCCUAGUUUCCUAACUGUCAGUGGUAGAGCAGAACGUUGCAACAGUGGGGACAGUGAAAACAGUGUUGUACUGCAUUCAAGAGCAUGUAACACAAACAGCAAUCAGUAGGAAAUUGCAGAGCUCGUCUGCAUUGUUUGCUUAUUCCAUUUUAUGCAAGCUGGAAAAACUUCAAAGAGAAACAUAAAUUGAGCCAAAAGUAUUGAGAUCACAGAUAAUUUUCAAACUCUUAAACAAAACUUAAACAAGGAAUUAGCAAGGCUAAAAGGGGUCAUGUAAUGUCCUUGACAUGUAAGAUUAAGGAGGCAUUUUAUACAUCUACUAGGAACAAGAGGGAAAGGAGAGGCCCACUCAAGGAUAAAGGAGGGAACUUAUGCAUGGAGAAAGUGGGUGAGGUCCUUAAAGAGUACGUCACAUCAGUAUUCACAAGGAGAAAGAUGGAUGAUGGUAAGGUUACAGAGGAGUAUGUUGAAAAUCUAGGGCAUGUCAAUAUUAAGGAGGAGGUUGUGUUGGGUGGUCUUCUAAAACAUUAAGGUAAGUCCCAGGACCUGAUGUAAUCUAUCCCAGAAUAGCACUUUUGAUACGUCCUUGGUGUUAAUGCCACCAGUUCUGAAUGUGUCUAUCACAUGUUGAAUCAGCUAAUGGGAUGAUGCAAUUUCAGAAGAGUAUUCUACAACAAUCCUCGGAUUUUAAAGGUACAUUUUAAAUGAUUCAGUUGCAUAUCCUAAACUCAUUGUGUGCAGCCCAGUCUAGUAUGGUGACCAGCUUAUUUCUGACACAGAAGGAGCCUAUAGACGAUAUGUGCCACACUGUACACAUUUCUAGACUUCUGUUUGCAUAAGUAGGACAUUGUAGUCCAAUGCAGCUAAGCAAUGUAAUUUCUGGAUGAUACAAAUGGUCAUGCCUAAUGUAUUUACAAAAUCAACUUGUUUUUUUUAAAAGAAAGGGGAUAUCAUAGAAUCCCAACUGUGUGGAAGUAGGACACUCGGCCCGAGUCCACCGACCCUCUGAACAGCAUCCUACCUAGAGGCACCCUAAACCUGUCAC